CCCUUACCUAUUCUCAGUUGUAAGUGGGCAUUUGGACUUGUAUUAAAUUAACUUAAUGAACUUUGCUUCUAUAGAAGGAGACAGUCCUACCCACCAUCUUAGACCAAGGCUGUUGGUAUUUUAUCUUUUAUCAGGUGGAACAUGAAAGUCAAAAGUGAAGUCACACACUGAUUACUAUGUCUCAUAUCACAUAACAUUGCCUUCAUGACAAUCCGUAGAAGUUUUUUUUCCUAAGUUUCAGUAGCAGGGAAAGCUCUGAUCCUAAAGCAAAAAAAAGUUACCUUACAAACACUGUGACUUUUUUUUUUAGCAACUUACUACUAUUCUUUCUUUGUUCUGGCUGCUGGAACAAAGAAACUUACAAAAACAGAACUUUUAAGUCACCUCAGCCAACCACUUAAACCUGUAUUUACUUAAUCCUGUCUUAUAUCUUUAAAAAUUACCCCAUAUCCUAUUUUUUUAAAGUGUACAUAAGUAGUCAUUUUAUUCUCUGACUUCUUCACCAAGACCCUUUGGAGCCUGGCUGUAUCCCUGCCUGCGCUUACUGUGUUACUCCCUCAAAUACCCUAAUUCUUACUGGCAUUUUUAUUACACAUACAACCUACUUUAUUCAUCUGGAAGGAAACUUUUUUUUUUAAGAGGAAAACUUCACAGUAUGCUUAAAACAGCUCAGGGCAGCCUGCCACAUAGAAUGAGCAUUAGACCAGAAGCUGUAGACAGGUUUCAUUCUUGUCACUACCACUUUCUGAGUGUUGUUGGACAAACCAGUCUCUCCUGGGCCUGAGUUCCUUAUCUGAAGAGAAGUUGAGCAUGAUUGCCAAGACCACUCCAGCCCCAAGGUCCUGUGAGGCUGUGGGGCAUCGGAAGAGA
rnacentral:lncRNA from 1 species